rnacentral:rRNA from 1 species
AGCUCCAAUAGCGUAUAUUAAAGUUGUUGCAGUUAAAACGCUCGUGGUCGGAUUUCGGGGCGGUCUUGAUGCCGGUCUGCCGUUGGGUAUUCACUGAUGGUGCGAGCGUCCUUCCUUCCGGAGACGGUGCCUGCUCUUAACUGAGUGGGUAUCGGAGACGGAUCAUUUACUUUGAAAAAAUCAGAGUGUUUCAAGCAGGCAGCUCGCUUUGCAUGGAUUAGCAUGGGAUAAU